rnacentral:rRNA from 1 species
UGGUAUAUAAGUGUAAGAUUAUGUUAUUAUGAUAUAUUAGAUUGGUAUUUUGUGUGAAAAUUGUGGUGUUUUUAUAGAAUAGUAGUACUUUUUAGGAAUUAUUUUAUUUGUAUUAAAUUUAGGUUUUUAAUACCUUUUGUAUUAGGGGUCUUUAAUGUGGAUAAAUAUUAAUUUUUUCUCGAUGAGUGUCGGGCUAUCUAAUUUUAUUUUACUCUCGUCGUAUAGAGAUUAUUAAGGGUUAGAUAGUUAUGAAAUAUUAUUCAAGAUGUUUUAUAUCUAGUUUUUCUAGAAUUAUAAUGGGGUGUAUGUUUAUUUGGGAUGCAGAUAGGGAUUAGCUUAUUUGUAGUUUAUAUAUUUUUUUAUUAUAAUUUAUUUGUGAGGUUAAAAGUUUUUAUUAUUAUGGUGUUAUUACUGGAUAAGAGAUUUUUGUAAUUUUUUUAUUUUAUGUUGGGAUAGGGAAUAUUAUAUUAAUUUUGAAUAUUGAUGAUAUAAUGAUGAUAUUAGUAAUAUUUAUAUUUGUAAUUUUAGUUUUAAAUUAAUUUGGUUGAUUGGAAUGGUUAGUUAUUAGUGAUGAAGAAUUAGGCAAAAGAUUAACCUUUGACUGUUUAGCAAAAACAUUGUUUUUUGUGAUAAAAUAAAAAAUAAGUUCUGCCCACUGUUUUGAUGAAGGGCUGCAGUAUUUUGACUGUAUGAAGGUAGCAUAAUCAUUAGCUUCUUAAUUAGGAGCUGGUAUGAAGGGGAAACAGAGGUUUGCUAUUUUAUUUUUAAAUAAUGAAUUUUAUUUUUGUGUGAAAAAUCAUAAGUGAAAUAAUGGGACAAGAAGACCCUAGUAAGUUUUAUUUUUUAUUUUUAAUGCAUAUGUAGGAAUGAAAAUUUAUAUAAUUUAUUAUAUUUAGUUUAACUGGGGCGGUGUGUUAUUAAACAUAAUUUAUUUUUUAACUUAUUUGAUGACGAUAAGAUGGACCUGGUUAGUUUAGUUGAGUGUAAAAUUACUGUAGGGAUAACAGCGUAAUUUUUUUUAAGAGUUCUUAUUAACAGGAAAGUUUGCGACCUCGAU